rnacentral:lncRNA from 1 species
CUGUCUUGCAAUUCAGUGAUCUGUUUCCUCAGCUCUUCCAUCUCAAUGCGGCUCAUGCGGUAAGGAGCAACCGAAAUGGGCUGGGUACCUGGCUGUAGGUCUAUAGUGAACUCAACUUCUCUGUCCACUGGCAGACCGGGCAGUUCGUCCGGAAACACAUCUGGGAAGUCUCGGACUACCGGAAUCUCUUGAAUACAAAUUUCCUUCUUUGACUUGCUUAGUCAGAGAAAACAACAAGAUUAAGGCACUAGAAGUUAAGAAAACUUGCCAUCAAGGAAUACGUACUGAAUAAUUUUAUUAAUUUGUAAAUGGCUCCUCGUUAGGAGGAUUAAAUACAACUUUCUUGUUAAAGCAAUCUAUGGUGGCGUGAUAUGCCGCUAGCUAAUCCAUUCCUAAGAUUACAUCAAAAUUUCCCGUGUCUAACACUAUCAAGUCUACCCUCAGUUUCCUAUUUGCUAUCUCCACGGCACAAGCCCUAUAGAUAGCUUCCCCUAGUAGUGUUUCACCCCCGGCAGUAGACACAAACAACAAUGAUUCAAGUUUAUCAGGUGAUACAUUAAUUUUGGAAGCAAAAGCAUGUGAAACAAGAGAGUGCGAUGCACCAGUGUCAAAUAAAACAUGAGCAAUAUGGUC